GCGUCUUAAGCAUGCAAGUCAAACGGGAUGUAGCAAUACAUCUAGUGGCGAACGGGUGAGUAACGCGUGGAUGAUCUACCUACGAGAUGGGGAUAACUAUUAGAAAUAGUAGCUAAUACCGAAUAAAGUCAAUUAAUUUGUUAAUUGAUGAAAGGAAGCCUUUAAAGCUUCGCUUGUAGAUGAGUCUGCGUCUUAUUAGUUAGUUGGUAGGGUAAAUGCCUACCAAGGCGAUGAUAAGUAACCGGCCUGAGAGGGUGAACGGUCACACUGGAACUGAGAUACGGUCCAGACUCCUACGGGAGGCAGCAGCUAAGAAUCUUCCGCAAUGGGCGAAAGCCUGACGGAGCGACACUGCGUGAAUGAAGAAGGUCGAAAGAUUGUAAAAUUCUUUUAUAAAUGAGGAAUAAGCUUUGUAGGAAAUGACGAAGUGAUGACGUUAGUUUAUGAAUAAGCCCCGGCUAAUUACGUGCCAGCAGCCGCGGUAAUACGUAAGGGGCGAGCGUUGUUCGGGAUUAUUGGGCGUAAAGGGUGAGUAGGCGGAUAUAUAAGUCUAUGCAUAAAAUACCACAGCUCAACUGUGGAACUAUGUUGGAAACUAUAUGUCUAGAGUCUGAUAGAGGAAGUUAGAAUUUCUGGUGUAAGGGUGGAAUCUGUUGAUAUCAGAAAGAAUACCGGAGGCGAAGGCGAACUUCUGGGUCAAGACUGACGCUGAGUCACGAAAGCGUAGGGAGCAAACAGGAUUAGAUACCCUGGUAGUCUACGCUGUAAACGAUGCACACUUGGUGUUAACUAAAAGUUAGUACCGAAGCUAACGUG
rnacentral:rRNA from 1 species